GUGCCAGCCGCCGCGGUAAUACCGGCAGCCCGAGUGAUGGCCGAUCUUAUUGGGCCUAAAGCGUCCGUAGCUGGCCGCGCAAGUCCAUCGGAAAAUCCACCCGCCCAACGGGUGGGCGUCCGGUGGAAACUGUGUGGCUUGGGACCGGAAGGCGCGACGGGUACGUCCGGGGUAGGGGUGAAAUCCCGUAAUCCUGGACGGACCACCGAUGACGAAAGCACUUCGAGAAAACGGAUCCGACAGUGAGGGACGAAAGCCAGGGUCUCCAACCGGAUUAGAAACCCUUGUAGUUC
rnacentral:rRNA from 1 species